rnacentral:rRNA from 1 species
GGGUGCGAUCAUACCAGUGUUAAUGCACUAGUCCCAUCAGAACUCUGUAGUUAAGCGCGCUUGGGCUAGAGUAGUACUGGGAUGGGUGACCUCCAGGGAAGUCCUAGUGUUGCACACU